UACGUAGGGUGCGAGCGUUGUCCGGAAUUAUUGGGCGUAAAGAGCUCGUAGGCGGUCUGUCGCGUCGAUCGUGAAAACUUGGGGCUUAACCCUGAGCUUGCGGUCGAUACGGGCAUGACUGGAGUUCGGCAGGGGAGACUGGAAUUCCUGGUGUAGCGGUGAAAUGCGCAGAUAUCAGGAGGAACACCGGUGGCGAAGGCGGGUCUCUGGGCCGAUACUGACGCUGAGGCGCGAAAGCUAGGGGAGCAAACAGG
rnacentral:rRNA from 1 species